rnacentral:rRNA from 1 species
AGCAAUAUGAAGGUCAGGCUGAAGACCUUACCCGAUUAGCUGAGAGGUGGUGCAUGGCCGUCGUCAGUUCGUACUGUGAAGCAUCCUGUUAAGCCAGGCAACGAGCGAGACCCACGUCCACAGUUGCCAGCAUACCCUCCGGGGUGAUGGGUACACUGUGGAGACCGCCGCUGCUAAAGCGGAGGAAGGAGUGGGCAACGGUAGGUCAGUAUGCCCCGAAUCUCCCGGGCUACACGCGGGCUACAAUGGUUGGUACAAUGGGCAUCUACCCCGAAAGGGGAAGGAAAUCUCUUAAAGCCAAUCGUAGUUCGGAUUGAGGGCUGCAACUCGCCCUCAUGAAGCUGGAAUCCGUAGUAAUCGCGUUUCAACAGAACGCGGUGAAUACGUCCCUGCUCCUU